rnacentral:rRNA from 1 species
GACGGACGGUGCAAGCGUUGCUCGGAAUUACUGGGCGUAAAGCGUGCGCAGGCGGCUUUGCAAGUCAGAUGUGAAAUCCCCGGGCUCAACCUGGGAACUGCAUUUGUGACUGCAUGGCUGGAGUGCGGCAGAGGGGGAUGGAAUUCCGCGUGUAGCAGUGAAAUGCGUAGAUAUGCGGAGGAACACCGAUGGCGAAGGCAAUCCCCUGGGCCUGCACUGACGCUCAUGCACGAAAGCGUGGGGAGCAAACAGG